UCCGCCAGUCAGGUGACCUUUAUUUACACGAUCUACAGUCACUCGAGAACCGUUCCACGCAAGGGGGUAGAUGGUUGCUAGACGAUUCGUUCAGUCGUUAAGUAUAAGGUCGUCUCUACCUACCUGUUGUCAAAAUCGUAUCGUCUUCACUUUCGAGUUUACAGAAACAAUCACUUAUGACGGGUCGAGGUUCAAAACUAUAAAAGUUUAUGCUAAAAGGAUGUUGUGUACAUCUACUACCUCGUCUAGCUCUACGGUCUCUUUUACGUAACCGACUGGUACUCAGUAGCGUCACGGUUCAUUGGUUCCUCGGUCAGUAACUUUAAUAACUUCUACUUUUUCAACCAUUAGAGCUUCCGUAUCUACUUCCCAUACGUGUACGUCUUCUUGUCCGAUACUUCACACUCGUACUCAGGGACGUCAUAGUUCAUGGGUUCCUCGGUGAGUAACUUUAUUAACUACUGCUAGUACAACACCUAGAACUUCCGUAUCAACCCUUGUAAAUGGUCUGUGGACUUUUUCAAUGGGUGUUGGUUCAUCAUCACCCUAGUCCGUCAUUAUAAAUAUCGUCGUCGUCGAGUCCUUUCUACCAGGGUGUUGUUAAACUCUCUUCCUAAUAGUUCGGUGGAGGAACGUUCUCCAGUGGUAAGAACCUGAUAUUACUCUCCUUUCACAUGUAUACGUUUGGACUUCAUUCGUCCGACAUACGUAGCCAAUAAGACGUGCCCUCUAACUUACUUCUUCUUAGUGGUCUACAUCUAUGAUCGGGCUUCCAUUAACUGAUGUUACCUAUACUACACAGCCACUCCCUCGAACGUUUGAGAUACUUUUUUCUUCCUAUACAGAACUGUGUACAUUACCUUUAACCGUAUGACAGGUAUUACUACUUAAACGGACGUCUGAGGUUCUUCCAACAGUACGGGGACUCCAAGAGCUGUUCCUACGACGUCUACUGAAAGGAGAGGUUACUAUAGUUGUCGGUUCUCUAAUAAAGGGCUAAGUUCUUUAGUUUAGUGGACCUGGCCUUUCUGUACUAUUACAAAUAACACAAUCUCUUAUAGCUGUUCAGUUUCUUCCAAAGUCCGUUGGUAAUAACCCAGAAGUUGCACUUAUAUUCCCUAGCUUCCAAGCUCCACGAACUAAGUACCUCCUGUGAAGUCCUGUUCUGAGAUCUACAGACGCGUUCCUGAUACCAACGAUCAAAAGCCCGAGACACCCUUCUCGUGAUAGGCUUCAGAGUAUAGAGUAAUCUACUGAAGUGUGAUUCUUUGUAACUACACGGUUUUGUUUGAUUGUUUAUACUGACGCCGUAAAAACGAGAGAGUUAACGUUUACCCACCCUUCCUUCCUUGCAAGGUUCUAAAUGUCGUCUCCUACAAGUUUCAUAGUCCUUCGUCAACUGUUUGUGCACCCAAUUGUGGUUCACGUUGUUCCGAGGUACCCUUCGACAUAACUUCAAUCGAAUCCGUUGAGUAUGUAUACGUACCAAAAGUUCCUAGAGUUCCCCCUUCGUUCGAUCUACGGUCUCUUAUCUGUAAAAAAACCUCACAAAAGUCGUACCUAAAGUGUGGUUUUUUGUCUCUCUCGUCGUCGUACAAAACACAGUCUUUUUUGAAUUCUUAUCGUCGUCAGUACCCGUUGUAUACAAACAGGGAAAAAUACAAGUCAUGAAACAAAAAGAGAAUUUCAAACAUGACCCUCGUUGAAACCAAUAGUGACAGCAACACAUCAGCGAAAAGGUUCGUUAGACAAACAGCUCCAGCACUUAACAAAGAAGCACGACGUUGACUAUGUAGGUAAAAUAUCAUCAAGAUAUCCUUUAAAGAAAACGGUAAAGAAAAAACGUCCUAGUUUUAUCGUUAUAUACAACGUAGGUGGGCGUAACAAGGGGCGGUUAACGUUCUAGUGUUGUUGUUGUUGACAACAUCCUAGUACGUUGGAUGUGGAAUAACCUUUCCAUUUAAUUUG
rnacentral:rRNA from 1 species